AUGUGAAAAGUUGAUUUCAGCACAAGAAUUUGACAUUCUGGUUUCCAGCCCAGGAUUGUCAUUUAUGGGUAGAUUUGCAAUUUUAGAAUGACAGCCCCUCCAAGCUCUUCAUUAUUACUGUUAUAUGAAACAGGAUGUGCUUAAUUGUACUGAAGGCCCAAUUCACAGACGUUAACCCUCUGGGCGAAGCAUUGAUGAAAGCUUUGAUAAGCCAAAGUGCCCCUAAAACCAAUGAGAACAAGAAGAGAAUCUGAGUGCAGAGGCCCCUGGGAGCUUUGAGGGAUACAUUGCUCAAUGGCACCAGCAUGAUAUCAUUGAUCAUUCCUCCCAAAGACCAGAUUUCACGAGUGGCAAAAAUGUUAGCGGAUGAGUUUGGAACUGCAUCUAACAUUAAGUCACGAGUAAACCGCCUUUCAGUCCUGGGAGCCAUUACAUCUGUACAACAAAGACUCAAACUUUAUAACAAAGUACCUCCAAAUGGUCUGGUUGUAUACUGUGGAACAAUUGUAACAGAAGAAGGAAAGGAAAAGAAAGUCAACAUUGACUUUGAACCUUUCAAACCAAUUAAUACGUCAUUGUAUUUGUGUGACAACAAAUUCCAUACAGAG
rnacentral:lncRNA from 1 species